ensembl:lncRNA
CUGCUCCAGGCUGUCUGACUGACACCUUGAAAGACAGAUCAAAUGACCACGGAGGAGACACAUUUUUGGACUUCUGCUACAUUCUUUCAGUAUCUUGCAUUGGAUCCAGUCCAGUCACUGAAGAUUUGCAGUACGCUCAUUGGAAUCAUAAUGGCAUGACCUGUUUGUUGUACAGUACAGAAGCUGUUGCAUUUGAGCAAAUCCUCCCUUGCUGCAGUCACCCAGGGAGGACCUGCCUAAGGUAAUCUUGCAAGAGAAUCUGAUUUCUAAUUAAUACUGCAUUCUAAUUUAAUAACUAAUAGCUUUUGAUGUGCUAAUUAUGAAAUGAGUUAUCC